GACGAACGCUGGCGGCGUGCCUAAUACAUGCAAGUCGAGCGAAUCAUGAGGUGCUUGCACCUCUUGGUUAGCGGCGGACGGGUGAGUAACACGUGGGCAACCUGCCUGUAAGACUGGGAUAACUUCGGGAAACCGGAGCUAAUACCGGAUAAUCCUUUUCCUCUCAUGAGGAAAAGCUGAAAGUCGGUUUACGCUGACACUUACAGAUGGGCCCGCGGCGCAUUAGCUAGUUGGUGAGGUAACGGCUCACCAAGGCGACGAUGCGUAGCCGACCUGAGAGGGUGAUCGGCCACACUGGGACUGAGACACGGCCCAGACUCCUACGGGAGGCAGCAGUAGGGAAUCUUCCGCAAUGGACGAAAGCCUGACGGAGCAACGCCGCGUGAGCGAUGAAGGCCUUCGGGUCGUAAAGCUCUGUUGUUAGGGAAGAACAAGUACCGGAGUAACUGCCGGUACCUUGACGGUACCUAACCAGAAAGCCACGGCUAACUACGUGCCAGCCGCCGCAGUAAGAC
rnacentral:rRNA from 1 species